UCGCUACUACCGAUUGAAUGGCUUAGUGAGCCGUAGGGACUGAGACGCCUUGCAUUCGUGCAUGUGACUAUCGGAAACUACUGCAAACUUGAUCAUUUAGAGGAAGUAA
rnacentral:rRNA from 1 species